rnacentral:rRNA from 1 species
AUUGAACGCUGGCGGCAGGCCUAACACAUGCAAGUCGAGCGGAUGAGAAGAGCUUGCUCUUCGAUUCAGCGGCGGACGGGUGAGUAAUGCCUAGGAAUCUGCCUGGUAGUGGGGGACAACGUUUCGAAAGGAACGCUAAUACCGCAUACGUCCUACGGGAGAAAGCAGGGGACCUUCGGGCCUUGCGCUAUCAGAUGAGCCUAGGUCGGAUUAGCUCGUUGGUGAGGUAAUGGCUCACCAAGGCGACGAUCCGGAACUGGUCUGAGAGGAUGACCAGUCACACAGGAACUGAGACACGGUCCAGACUCCGACGGGAGGCAGCAGUGGGGAAUAUUGGACAAUGGGCGAAAGCCUGAUCCAGCCAUGCCGCGUGUGUGAAGAAGGUCUUCGGAUUGUAAAGCACUUUAAGUUGGGAGGAAGGGCAGUAAGUUAAUACCUUGCUGUUUUGACGUUACCGACAGAAUAAGCACCGGCUAACUCUGUGCCAGCCGCCGCCGUAACAC